rnacentral:lncRNA from 1 species
AAAAUACAAGUACCAUCCAGUUGCAGGCACGGUGUUUACCCAACUUCUCCACUUCAACAGGGUGCAUCAUUACAUGACUAACCUUGCUGGGAAAUAUAAGACUUACAGGCUGCGCGCCCCUUUCAGAAGUGAGAUUUACACUGUUGACCCUGUAAAUGUUGAGUACAUACUCAAAACCAACUUUGAAAAUUAUGGCAAGGUAAUUUAUUUCUUCUUACUGUGAUCUAUUUCGUCAAUAUCAGAACCAAAUGUUUGGUCCUUGUUUUUAUGAUGUGAAUUGUGUAAAAUUAUCUUGAUGAAUUCAAGAACCAAUUAUGAGUAGUCACAAAAAAAUUUGUUAGGGUGAUGAGAAUUUGAGUGGGGAUUUUUUACUGUUCACUUUUCCUCAGGAUUAGAUUCCAAUGGCUAAAAGGGUAAAGAUUUAGCUUCCUCAAUCUUUGUGCAGGGGGACCAUAAUUACGACAAUUUAAGUGGGUUACUAGGUGAUGGAAUUUUCACUGUUGAUGGUCACAAAUGGCGCCAACAAAGAAAGGUUUCGAGCUAUGAGUUCUCCACAAAGGUCUUGAGGGACUUCAGCAGUGUGAUCUUCAGGAAGAAUGUGGCAAAACUUGCUAAUAUAGUGUCUGAAGCUGCAAAAUCUAACCAGUCAAUGGACAUACAGGUUAGUCUUUGAUCCAAUGUCACAUCAUGAAUUGAUUUUCAAAUUACGUGACCUUCUAAGCUUAACUGGUUGUGCAGGAUCUGUUUAUGAAAUCAACCUUAGAUUCGAUAUUCAAAGUUGGAUUUGGGGUUGAGCUAGACAGCAUGUGUGGAUCAAAUGAAGAAGGUGUCAAAUUUACCAGUGCUUUUGAUGAUGCAAGUGCAUUGACCCUUUGGCGAUAUGUUGAUGUGUUCUGGAAAAUCAAGAGGUUUUUGAAUAUUGGAUCGGAAGCUGCAUUGAAGAAAAACGUCAAAGUGGUUAAUGAUUUUGUGUAUAAACUAAUCAAUAAAAAAAUUGAGCUAAUGCGUAACUCAAAAGAAGUUUCUUCUGUGAGUAUCUCUCCUUGAAACUAUUAUUUCUGAUAGAUUGCAGAGGCAUGAAUCUUACUUGAUCUUACAUGGAAAAUGCAGUUAAAGAAAGAUGACAUUUUAUCAAGGUUCCUGCAAGUGACUGAGAAUGAUCCAACAUACUUACGGGACAUAAUUCUCAAUUUUGUGAUUGCUGGAAAAGACACAACAGCAACUGCUCUAUCAUGGUUCAUCUACAUGUUGUGCAAGCAUCCAGCUGUGCAGAAUAAGAUUGCACAAGAAGUAAGAGAAGCAACUAAAGUGAAAGAGAAUACAGACUUUGCAGAAUUUGCAGCCAGUAUUAAUGAAGAAGCUCUAGAAAAGAUGAACUAUCUCCAUGCAGCAAUUUCUGAAACUCUUAGACUGUAUCCAUCUGUGCCUGUGGUAAGAAGAAAUUAUAUGCACCUGCAAUUCCUGGCCGCACGACACAAUUAUAGUAGGAAAACUGAUUGACUGUUCGAAUAUGUUCAAAUAAAUUCAUGACUAUUUACGAAUUCUUCACGACUGAAACUAUGAUUCUUGAGCAACAAACACCUUAAUUCUCACAGUAUGCUUAUGUUUGAACAUGCUCUUAUAGAGUUAAUAAUGCUUCCUAAAUAAUUUUAUAAUUUUAUUGUUUCUGUAUCUCAAAAUUCUUUGCUUUGCAGGAUGGGAAGAUUUGCUUUUCUGAUGACACUCUACCAGAUGGCUUUAACGUGAGUAAGGGAGAUAUGGUGGCUUACCAACCUUAUGCAAUGGGCAGGAUGAAGUUCAUAUGGGGCGAUGAUGCUGAGGAAUACAAACCUGAAAGAUGGCUCAAGGAUGGCGUGUUUCAGCAAGAAAGCCCUUUCAAGUUUACAGCUUUCCAGGUUAGUUGAAAUAAAGACUGGUCUAAUUCACUUGAUUAACAUUCAAAUAAAUUUUCUUCUUCCUUCGAUGUGCAAAUUAUCAAGAUCGAGUCAUCAUUAAGAUCUACUUUCUGUGCUAGCUCAGCUUAAGUUUAUGGACUCCCAAUCCCAUUGACCAAAUGACUAAAAUCAGGCUUUCUGCUGGUUAACAGGCAGGGCCACGGAUAUGUCUUGGGAAGGAAUUUGCUUAUAGGCAGAUGAAGAUCUUUGCGGCUGUCUUGGUGGCCAGUUUCACUUUUAAACUCGCCGAUGAAAAGAAACCAGUCAAUUACAGGACGAUGAUU